rnacentral:rRNA from 1 species
AGAUCUUUGGGGGAGGUUUCGGCCUCUUUCCCUUAGAUGUAUAUGUUAUACCCGUGUCUUUUGCGUACUACUUGUUUCCUUGGUGGGCUUGCCCACCAAUAGGACAUUAUUUUAAACCUUUUGUAAUUGCAGUCAGCGUCAGAAAUAACUUUUAAUAGUUACAACUUUCAACAACGGAUCUCUUGGUUCUGGCAUCGAUGAAGAACGCAGCGAAAUGCGAUAAGUAGUGUGAAUUGCAGAAUUCAGUGAAUCAUCGAAUCUUUGAACGCACAUUGCGCCCCUUGGUAUUCCAUGGGGCAUGCCUGUUCGAGCGUCAUUUGUACCCUCAAGCUCUGCUUGGUGUUGGGUGUUUGUCUCGCGUUGCGCGUAGACUCGCCUUAAAACAAUUGGCAGCCGGCAUUUUGGCCUAGGAGCGCAGCACAUUUUGCGAUUCUAGUCAUGUAUGUUGGCGUCCAUGAAGCAAAACAUUUUUACGCUUGACCUCGGAUCAGGUAGGGAUACCCGCUGAACUUAAGCAUAUCAAUA